rnacentral:tRNA from 1 species
GAAGGUAUAGCUCAAAUGGUAGAGCGCAUGCUUAACAUGCAUGAGCUCUUGGGUUUGAUUCCCAGUACCUCUG